UGGGGAAUUUUGGACAAUGGGGGCAACCCUGAUCCAGCAAUGCCGCGUGUGUGAAGAAGGCCUUCGGGUUGUAAAGCACUUUUGUCCGGGAAGAAAUCGCACCUGAUAAUACCGGGUGUGGAUGACGGUACCGGAAGAAUAAGGACCGGCUAACUACGUGCCAGCAGCCGCGGUAAUACGUAGGGUCCAAGCGUUAAUCGGAAUUACUGGGCGUAAAGCGUGCGCAGGCGGUUGUGCAAGACCGAUGUGAAAUCCCCGGGCUUAACCUGGGAAUUGCAUUGGUGACUGCACGGCUAGAGUGUGUCAGAGGGGGGUAUAAUUCCACGUGUAGCAGUGAAAUGCGUAGAGAUGUGGAGGAAUACCGAUGGCGAAGGCAGCCCCCUGGGAUAACACUGACGCUCAUGCACGAAAGCGUGGGGAGCAAACAGG
rnacentral:rRNA from 1 species